rnacentral:rRNA from 1 species
UGGGUGGCGGACGGGUGAGUAACGCGUAAAGAACUUGCCUCACAGCUAGGGACAACAUUUAGAAAUGAAUGCUAAUACCUAAUAUUAUGAUAAUAGGGCAUCCUAUAAUUAUGAAAGCUAUAUGCGCUGUGAGAGAGCUUUGCGUCCCAUUAGCUAGUUGGAGAGGUAACGGCUCACCAAGGCGAUGAUGGGUAGCCGGCCUGAGAGGGUGAUCGGCCACAAGGGGACUGAGACACGGCCCUUACUCCUACGGGAGGCAGCAGUGGGGAAUAUUGGACAAUGGACCGAGAGUCUGAUCCAGCAAUUCUGUGUGCACGAUGAAGUUUUUCGGAAUGUAAAGUGCUUUCAGUUGGGAAGAAAGAAAUGACGGUACCAACAGAAGAAGUGACGGCUAAAUACGUGCCAGCAGCCGCGGUAAUACGUAUGUCACGAGCGUUAUCCGGAUUUAUUGGGCGUAAAGCGCGUCUAGGUGGUUAUAUAAGUCUGAUGUGAAAAUGCAGGGCUCAACUCUGUAUUGCGUUGGAAACUGUAUAACUAGAGUACUGGAGAGGUAAGCGGAACUACAAGUGUAGAGGUGAAAUUCGUAGAUAUUUGUAGGAAUGCCGAUGGGGAAGCCAGCUUACUGGACAGAUACUGACGCUGAAGCGCGAAAGCGUGGGUAGCAAACAGGAUUAGAUANCCUGGUAGUCCACGCCGUAAACGAUGAUUACUAGGUGUUGGGGGUCG